GGAGAAGCCCGGAGCUCCAGGUGGUGGCAGAAGCGUGGGAAGCUAGAAGAGGGCGGAGCCUGGAGGGGACACCCGGGCCGCCCUCUCUGGUCCUUCAAUUCCGCCCCCGCCUUAUCCACCUGGCUCCGCCGGCGGGCUCUUCUUACCUGAGAUGCCUAGGAUCCCCAGGCCCAGGGCAGCCCAGAGGCCGAGGAGCGCUCGGCGCAGCCCUGGCGAAGGCCCCGGCAUUGCCGCCGCUGCCGGGGAGGGGAGAGCACAGAAGCAGGCUAAGUAUGGGAGCCACGCCCCUAAGACCUCCUCCGCGCACGCGGCGAAGGAAGAGGGGGAUCAAGUGCCAGCAAGACUCGGACACGUGUGCGUGUGCGCAGCGUUCGCAGGCUUCUAAAUUAGAGUCGACUCCGGCACCCGAUCUUUAUUUACCCAGAGUGCAGCGGGAAUGUGUCUACAACGCUGUUGUGUGUCUAGUCUCUCAGCAGAGCUUCUGCGCCCUCCUCGCCAGGAGUGUGGCCGCCUCUACUGGGUAACUAGUGCGAGAUUCUGCAAUUCACGCUGGACCAAAAGAUCAACUGGGGACACUUUGACCCCAGCUUUGACAUCCCUCUCUACAUACAUACCAGACUCGGAGACAACAAGCACAACGCCAGGAAGCAAGUCUGUGACAGCUCACGUGGCCUGAACAAUCAUCUCUUAACUUGUUGCUAUGCUAGAUUUCCUAUCUAGUUAGCCGCUUCCUCUACUACUUGAAGAAGGCCCCGCCUACUCGAGUGUUUCUACCUCCCCCCCCCCCCCCAAUUAAUGAUAACCUUGGGGAAUCAGGUCUAGCUCCACCCGCUGGCCUUCUCUAGUAACGCACAGGCUCCGUAGUGGAAAAGGAGGGAGGAGAAGGGAAACUUAGCCUCCAAUCAGAGCUCCGGCCUGUAUCAGCGGAGCCAAUCAGAAAAAGCCAUACCAAGAGUCAGCCCUGGAGGGGAGGUCAGUUUAGUCUUUCUGCCCCGCACAAAUAAAGCUAACAAAACUCUACGCAGAGGAACUCGGGUUCUAGGACCCCAUGCUGGCCUUGAAGGAGAAAUUUCAAGGUGUUGUUUCCUCCAGUACUACCUCUAAUCUACUAAUCUUCAGCCCCUACGUAAGGAAUUUGGAAAAAGUAAGGUACCUUAAAAAAGAAACCACUUUCUCCAAGAACCGUAAGGCAGAGACUGAGGAGGAAGACUUUAUUGUUUCAAUAAGAGUCUCUGAAUUAAUUACUCUGAAGUUCUUUUCCCCUCCCUCUUGUCAGGCAUCGAAAACAGAUCUAUAACUAAGUCUGCACAGCCAGGUACUUGCGCACGUAGACAGCCCCCACAGCCAGGAGGAUCCCCACCAGGGUUGCGAUGGAGGUAGAGGCCAAGGCUAUAGAGGCUGGGCUUAAAGCUGUGGGCAGGAGUGAAAAUCAGGAACUAGGAGGUCUGAGGACCGCCAAGCGUGGAGCCCACGCCUGUUCUGCAGGCCCCCUUGGAGUGGCAACAUCCCCUCUCCCGCACCCAUUCCCUGGGAUUACAGGAUGCCUCACCGAGGACUGUCAACAUAACAGGUGCCGAGCUGCUGCGCACCACUAGCCCGUCGAGAUUGAGGCGCGCAUGGCAGGUGAGUGGCUGCCAGAGGUCGUUGAGUCCGGCCCGCAUCACGUAGGUCAAAGUGACAUUAGCCAAAUCUGAACCGGUGAAGCGCUCCAGGCUUUCAUGAUAAAUCACUCGGCCACCUCUUCUCAGGCUCACCACCAAGAAUCCCACUGGGAACACGUGUGUCACAUAGCAUCGCAGAGUGUACUUGUGGCCCACUAGGACCGGAGGCUCCAAGAUCACGCUUCUGGGCCGUUCUAAGGCAAGAGAGAUAAGGCCCACAGGCACCCCUUAAAGCAAUUACCAUCUAUCCGCUUCCUCCACCCCUCUCCCCUCACCCCAGCCCGGCCUGAGCCCCGGUCUCCCUCACUGUAAGCAGUGAUCCUGGCGGUGGCCUCUCGGGUUUCUCCUGCGCAAGUGACGACGCAGCGCACCUUGGAAUUCCAGGCCCUCACAUCCAGUAGCUGGUAAGAUACCCAGCCGGAUCCAUUAACUAUCUUUCCCUGCCGCAGUUGGGUGCGCAGGCUGGAAUGCACCGGCAGGGGGCAGUUGUGGCUGCAGUUAAGCCACGCUGAGCCCCCGGGAGGCACGGCCUCUAGCUCUGGAUUAAGACGCACCCAGAAAGGUGCUGAGGUCACGGAAGGCGCGGGAGGACUUUGCAUCCACUCUUGCUGGGGGCUCCCACCCCUCGGAUAGGCAGCCACCAGCAAAAGCGACGGGAGCAGAAGGGCAGACUCCAUGGCACAAAGCCCGCGCUGAAGUGCGGGCGGAACGCCAGGGAGUUUAGGCUGGCCGCAGGAGAUAAGAAGGCACCCUGGCCACGCCCCAGAAUGGGCCUCGGCCGGCCCUGAUGAAGAUACCUGCCUCCCCUCCCAUCAGACCCUACAAUCAACCAAAAGCCAUUGCACAGUUCUGGACCUGCUCUUUAGUUUUUACGUAAGCCCCAAGAAGUCUUUAAAAAUUAAAAAAUAAAAUAACGCUUGGUGAUGGCACAUGCCUUUGAUCCCAGCACUCCCAGGGAGGCAGAUCUCUGUAAGUUCAAGGCCAUCCUGAUCUACACUGGGAAACCCUGUCUAUCUAACGUAGAUUUUACUAGACAUGGCAGUGGCUUUGUCAUUUAGUCCUAGCAUUCAGGAGACAGGUUGGCCCAUCUUUGUGAAGUCAAGGCCAGCCCAUUCCACAUAGCAGAUUUCAGGACAUCCAUGGCCACAAAGAGAACCUGUCUCAAAAAAGAAAGGGGGUGGGGGUGGGGACCAACCUGAUCCACAGACUCAGAGUUAGGGUUAGGUUACCAGACAACCCUGAGGCAUUAUGGGAGUCGGCAGUCCUUAGGGCUUUGCCUAACUGAUGUGAUGACUGUACACAAACUCACAAGACACUCAGGCCGACAUAAAACUUUAUUGAUUCAAAGGAAAGGUUUCUGUGCUGGGAGGGGUGCUUACCCUCCCACAGCAGCUUGCACGACCCUUCUAAGGAGUUGGAACAUUUCCUUCCAGGCUUUCUCUUUGAGGUGGAGCCGCCUGGGACCAUGAUUUCAUGAGCAUGAGGCUCGAUUGUUCAGCUGCUAAGGCAUGGUGGCUGACAUUGGGAACAAAAGUAGGUGGGGAGGUGCUGGGACGCUCCAGGAUGUGGAGGAGCAGAGAACCACUGCCAGUCCACAUAGUGUUUAUGUGACUGGUGAAAAAAGUCGACCCUUAUGAGAAAAGCAUCCUGACCAGUAGAGAAACCCUCGACCCAUGUGAUCUUUCCCCAGACUCUCACAGCAUCUGCAGCAGGGUCCAGGCCAUAACUUAUACAUUCACCUCCUCACUGAUCUACUAUAUACAGGGUACUCAAUAAAUAGCUGGUAAAACUCUAAAUUAAUAAAUACAUCAAGAAGAGUUGGGG
rnacentral:lncRNA from 1 species